rnacentral:rRNA from 1 species
UACAGAGGGUGCAAGCGUUAAUCGGAAUUACUGGGCGUAAAGCGUGCGUAGUCGGUUAUUUAAGUCGGGCGUGAAAGCCCCGGGCUCAACCUGGGAAUUGCGUUCGAUACUGGAUAGCUAGAGUUCGGAAGAGGGAAGCGGAAUUUCUGGUGUAGCGGUGAAAUGCGCAGAUAUCAGGAAGACCACCGGUGGCGAAGGCGGCUUGCUGGGCCUUACCUGACGCUGAGGAGCGAAAGCGUGGGGAGCGAACAGG